rnacentral:rRNA from 1 species
CAGCCGUAAACUAUGCGCGUUAGGUGUAUCGGUGACCACGAGUCACCGAGGUGCCGAAGGGAAACCGUGAAACGUGCCGCCUGGGAAGUACGGUCGCAAGGCUGAAACUUAAAGGAUUGGCGGGGGAGCACCACAACGGGUGGAGCCUGCGGUUUAAUUGGACUCAACGCCGGGAAGCUCACCGGAUAAGACAGCGGAAUGAUUGCCGGGCUGAAGACUCUGCAUGACUAGCUGAGAGGAGGUGCAUGGCGUAGACGUCU